UUCGAUCCAAAUUAGCCAAAAAUUCCUGAGGAUGUAACGAACAAUUUGUAAAAAGAAUUUUGUCGCUUUCUUAUUUUGUUACGAAGGAGAUGCACACACAUGACAAACAGUGAAUAGGGAGAUAACUCUUACAAAGAAAAUGGUUCGGCUUAGCAGGGUGAAAUUUAAAAGCGCAUAAACUAUACGAUACAAUAUGAAAAAAAAUCUAAGCGACAUAUUGCGAAACAAACAUUUAUCGCAAGAACAAAAUUUGGCGGAAAAAAAAAAAAAAUAAUAAUAAUAAUAAUAAUAAUCAGAACAAAUACAAUAGGCUUUCCACAGAAAAGUGGAAAGACCUAAUAAUAUGGAAAAAACUGGAGUUGUCGUUCGUUUUACGUUGAUAGGAUAGAUAGUACACAACCUACAUUCAGUUGUAAGUGGAGGGUUAAAAAAAAAGGGGGGGGGGCAAAAGGGGGUCUCGGGGAGAUUUUUUUUUUUUUUUUAUUAACGGAACAGAAUGGUUAAAAAGGUUUUUUACAAUAUAAAUCAAUUGCUUUAAAAAAGCAAUUGUAGGGGGUCUUUCCCCCUUUAAAAUUAAUUGAAUUGAAUUGGGGGGGGGGUUGUUUGUUUGUUUGUUUGUUUGUUUGUUUGUUUGUUUCUGUAUGGGGUCUAUAUUAUUGUUACCGGAGAAGUUUCAUGUUUAGUUUGGAAAGUUUUUCUUUUAUUUUAGGUACAGCGCGCGCGCCCACAUCACGUGACACGGGUUUAUAAUAACGAAAAGAUAGUCUUUUUAUUCCUUUUUAGGUGGGGACUUUGAACAGACAACAUGUAUAGAGACGGAAUGCACACAAUGUAAUUUCUUUUGUCAUUGUAGGAAAUUGACAUUUUGAUGACAGUUCACAAGCAGUGCAUGAUUUGGAUUUAUUUGAUCCGGUGUAACUUUAAAACACAUUUAUUGAUUAUUUUCUGAUAAUGUACAUUUUUCAGCACCUGUUUGUAACACAGAUUAGUAUUUCAAUCUCGGAGCGGACAUUUUAUUGUAGGCUUUUACUGAAAUUUACGGACCUAGCAAGCAAUUUUUACGGCAUUGCAAUUUCUUUUCUCUAGGAAAAGCUUUGAGAGAUAUCUGCACCAAGUUUUUUUAUAAACUUUUAGUACAUGUAUGCCCUGCUGACUGCAAAUUUUGAGGUCGAUUGUAUUUGUAGUUUCAGAGUACAUGUGGAUUUUUUUUUUCAGAAGUGACGCAAGAACAAUAUUAAAUUUCAAUUUUUCAUGAAACAUGAUUGAUUGAUCAUGAUCAUGAUUGAUUCAUGAUCAUGAUGAUGAUUGAUUGAUUGAUUGAUUGAUUGAUUGAUUGAUUAGUUGGUUGGUUGGUUGGUUGGUUGGUUGGUUGGUAAAACACGUUGGAUAGGGCCAAUUGAAACAGCGAAAAAGAAACAAAAAAGAUCUUGGACCCUAUAUUAAACACACGAGACGGAAACAUGAUUGAUUGAUUGAUUGAUUGAUUGAUUGAUUGAUUGAUUGAUUGAUUGAUUGGUUGGUUGGUUGGUUGGUUGGUUGGUUGGUUGGUUGGUUGGUUGGUUGGUUGGUUGGUUAAACACGUUGGAUAGGGCCAAUUGAAACAGCGAAAAAGAAACAAAGAAGAUCUUGGACCCUAUAUUAAACACACGAGACGAGACGGAAACAUGAUUGAUUGAUUGAUUGAUUGAUUGAUUGAUUGAUUGAUUGAUUGAUUGAUUGAUUGAUUGAUUGAUUGAUUGAUUGGUUGGUUGGUUGGUUGGUUGGUUGGUUGGUUGGUUGGUUGGUUAAACACGUUGGAAAGGGUCAAUUGAAACAGCGAAAAAGAAACAAAGGAGAUCUUGAACCCUAUAUAAAACACAUGAGACGGAAACAUGAUUGAUUGAUUGAUUAAUCAUGAUCAUGAUUGGUUGAUUGAUCAUGAUCAUGAUUUGUUGAUUGAUCAUUAUUGAUUGAUCAUGAUUGGUUGGUUGGUUGGUUGGUUGGUUGGCAAACACACAUAAAAUUCUUCAAGUCGUGCCCCAAAUCACAUAUGUACAUGACCUUGACCUUUGACCUUGUGACCUUUGUCAAGGUCAUUGCUUCACAAUGUCAUUGCAAAAGACCCUAUGGGUCAAGGACCUUUUGUUUAAGAGUUUUGCCUAAUAAUGGCUUUUUAUAAACCAUCAAUGGGGGUUAUGUCCCUUACAUAAUGGUAAAACCAAUACAGUCAUAAUGUAACAAAGUUGCCCCUUGAAGUACUGAACAUUUUUCACUGCUUAAAUUUUCUGUAUCUAUAACCAUUCAAGAAUUAUAGGGAAAUCAAAGACAUAUGAAAAUCUAAAAUAUGACCUUGACCUUUGACCUUGACCUAAUUUUCUAAGUUAGGACCCAGGGGACUCAAAUAAAAACAUUCCAGGGUUAUACGGUUAACGGUUUAUGAGUUAAAAAAACAUACCGACAAAUUUAUUCCGUAAAGGUACAUAACUCCUAUAAAAUUUCAUCGAAUCGCUUCGAUCCAAAUUAGCCAAAAAUUCCUGAGGAUGUAACGAACAAUUUGUAAAAAGAAUUUUGUCGCUUUCUUAUUUUGUUACGAAGGAGAUGCACACACAUGACAAACAGUGAAUAGGGAGAUAACUCUUACAAAGAAAAUGGUUCGGCUUAGCAGGGUGUGAAAUUUAAAAGCGCAUAAACUAUACGAUACAAUAUGAAAAAAAUCUAAGCGACAUAUUGCGAAACAAACAUUUAUCGCAAGAACAAAAUUUGGCGGAAAAAAAAAAAAAAUAAUAAUAAUAAUAAUAAUAAUCAGAACAAAUACAAUAGGCUUUCCACAGAAAAGUGGAAAGACCUAAUAAUAUGGAAAAAAACUGGAGUUGUCGUUCGUUUUACGUUGAUAGGAUAGAUAGUACACAACCUACAUUCAGUUGUAAGUGGAGGGUUAAAAAAAAAGGGGGGGGGGCAAAAGGGGGUCUCGGGGAGAUUUUUUUUUUUUUUUUAUUAACGGAACAGAAUGGUUAAAAAGGUUUUUUACAAUAUAAAUCAAUUGCUUUAAAAAAGCAAUUGUAGGGGGUCUUUCCCCCUUUAAAAUUAAUUGAAUUUGGGGGGGGGGGGGUUGUUUGUUUGUUUGUUUGUUUGUUUGUUUGUUUGUUUCUGUAUGGGGUCUAUAUUAUUGUUACCGGAGAAGUUUCAUGUUUAGUUUGGAAAGUUUUUCUUUUAUUUUAGGUACAGCGCGCGCGCGCGCCACAUCACGUGACACGGGUUUAUAAUAACGAAAAGAUAGUCUUUUUAUUCCUUUUUAGGUGGGGACUUUGAACAGGCAACAUGUAUAGAGACGGAAUGCACACAAUGUAAUUUCUUUUGUCAUUGUAGGAAAUUGACAUUUUGAUGACAGUUCACAAACAGUGCAUGAUUUGGAUUUAUUUGAUCCGGUGUAACUUUAAAACACAUUUAUUGAUUAUUUUCUGAUAAUGUACAUUUUUCAGCACCUGUUUGUAACACAGAUUAGUAUUUCAAUCUCGGAGCG
rnacentral:lncRNA from 1 species